AUUGAACGCUGGCGGCAGGCCUAACACAUGCAAGUCGAGCGAGCGGCGGACGGGUGAGUAAUGUAUGGGGACUGCCCGAUAGAGGGGGCUAACUACUUGAAACGGUGGCUAAUACCGCAUACUAUCGGAUAACCCAUAUGGGAUUGGCUAGUAGGUGGGGUAAAGGCUCACCAAGGCGACGAUCUCUAGCUGGACUGAGAGGAUGAUCAGCCACACUGAGACUGGGACACGGCCCAGAAGCCGACGGAGGCACCAGUGGGGAAUAUUGCGCAAUGGGCGCAAGCCUGAUGAAGCCAUGCCGCGAGUAUGAAGAAGGCAUGAGGAUUGUAAAGUACUUUCAGCGUAGAGGCGUUACCCGAAGAAGAAGAACCGGCUAACUCCGUGCCAGCAGCCGCGGUAAUUC
rnacentral:rRNA from 1 species